AUGCACGCUGGCGGCGUGCCUAAUACCUGCCAGUCGAGCGCACGGACGAGAAGCUUGCUUCUCUGAUGUUAGCGGCGGACGGGUGAGUAACACGUGGAUAACCUACCUAUAAGACUGGGAUAACUUCGGGAAACCGGAGCUAAUACCGGAUGAUAUUUUGAACCGCAUGGUUCAAAAGUGAAAGACGGUCUUGCUGUCACUUAUAGAUGGAUCCGCGCUGCAUUAGCUAGUUGGUAAGGUAACGGCUUACCAAGGCAACGAUGCAUAGCCGACCUGAGAGGGUGAUCGGCCACACUGGAACUGAGACACGGUCCAGACUCCUACGGGAGGCAGCAGUAGGGAAUCUUCCGCAAUGGGCGAAAGCCUGACGGAGCAACGCCGCGUGAGUGAUGAAGGUCUUCGGAUCGUAAAACUCUGUUAUUAGGGAAGAACAUAUGUGUAAGUAACUGUGCACAUCUUGACGGUACCUAAUCAGAAAGCCACGGCUAACUACGUG
rnacentral:rRNA from 1 species